AUUAGCUUGUUGGUGGGGUAACGGCUCACCAAGGCCACGAUGUCUAGGGGUUCUGAGAGGAAGGUCCCCCACACUGGAACUGAGACACGGUCCAGACUCCUACGGGAGGCAGCAGUGAGGAAUAUUGGACAAUGGUCGGAAGACUGAUCCAGCCAUGCCGCGUGAAGGUUACGGUCCUAUGGAUUUUAAACUUCUUUUGUAUGGAAGCAAUAAGGUGCACGCGUGCAUCGAUGAGAGUACCAUACGAAUAAGCAUCGGCUAACUCCGUGCCAGCAGCCGCGGUAAUACGGAGGAUGCAAGCGUUAUCCGGAUUUAUUGGGUUUAAAGGGUGCGUAGGCGGAUUAAUAAGUCAGCGGUGAAACUCACAGGCUCAACCUGUGCCGUGCCGUUGAAACUGUUUAUCUUGAAUGCGGAUGCUGUGGGAGGAAUGUGUAGUGUAGCGGUGAAAUGCAUAGAUAUUACACAGAACACCGAUUGCGAAGGCAUCUCACAAAGCCGUGAUUGACGCUGAGGCACGAAAGUGUGGGGAUCAAACAGGAUUAGAUACCCUGGUAGUCCACUACUGUAAACGAUGAUAACUCGCUGCCGGCGAUAUAUAGUCGGUGGCCCAGCGAAAGCGAUA
rnacentral:rRNA from 1 species